rnacentral:lncRNA from 1 species
UUAAUCCAAAAUAAAUAUCUGUUGUGGCCGCAUUUUUGUUACCUUGACAAUGUUUUUCACUGACCGCUGCAACAAAAGGGUUGCACAUUACUAUCAUACCUCAAUGUUUUGUACUCACAUGGGUGACACAUAGUGUACGAAUAGUCCCUUCUAAAUCUCCAUUAUAGGCAUAGGUUUGAUUUUAUACCACUUUAGUAUGCACCAUUUUUUUCUUGAGUAUAUGUGAGUUCGUGUUGGCUUACUUCCAUUCAUACUCCCCCGUCCACGAAAAAUUGUAUCCACACCGAUGGAGAGAGUGCCCUACUUCCGCCGUUUUGUUUACACUGCAAGAAUGGUUGUCUCCACCUCCGGUGAGGUUGUAGUGAGCUAUCGACAACAAUGUCACAGCCAUGUGAGUCCAUUUGUUCUACUCCAUCCGCGACACGGUUGUAGAUCUUU